rnacentral:misc_RNA from 1 species
GAUGAAGAACGUAGCGAAAUGCGAUACGUAAUGUGAAUUGCAAAUUCAGUGAAUCAUCGAGUCUUUGAACGCACAUUGCGCCCCCUGGUAUUCCGGGGGGCAUGCCUGUCCGAGCGUCAUUGCUGCCCUCAAGCACGGCUUGUGUGUUGGGCCCCGUCCUCCGAUCCCGGGGGACGGGCCCGAAAGGCAGCGGCGGCACCGCGUCCGGUCCUCGAGCGUAUGGGGCUUUGUCACCCGCUCUGUAGGNNCGGCCGGCGCUUGCCGAUCAACCCAAAUUUUUAUCCAGGUUGACCUCGGAUCAGGUAGGGAUACCCGCUGAACUUAAGCAUAUCAAUAAGCGGAGGA